CUGGCACACUGGUGUGUCAAACUGGAUUGCAUUCCCCUGCUGGUUUCAUGUGUAAUUUGAGAAAAUGUCUUAAUGAUUGCUAUCUCUCCAGUAGCUACGGGAGAUAAAUAUGAAAAAUCAGAUUGAGAAUGCUUCAUCAGGAAAAGAAGUUGAAUUUUGUGGAUGGCUGUGAUGGUUUAAAGCGAGUUUGAUGGCUGCACCGGUUGGGACUGCUCCCUCUAGAAGUACUUCUGUUCACACAGAACCUAGUUCUACCAGGGAAUCUCACCUGCUCCUCUCCCCGGAUUACGCUGGUUUUGGUCCUUUAUCUUAAAAUUCCUUCUGUUGUUUUCUGCUUUCUUUGUCAUCAGUGGCAUUGGCGG